AUACGUAGGGGGCGAGCGUUGUCCGGAAUUACUGGGCGUAAAGGGUGCGUAGGUGGCCUUUUAAGUUGGAUGUGAAAUACCCGGGCUUAACCUGGGGGGUGCAUCUAAUACUGGGAGGCUAGAGUGCAGGAGAGGAAAGCGGAAUUCCUAGUGUAGCGGUGAAAUGCGUAGAUAUUAGGAGGAACACCAGUGGCGAAGGCGGCUUUCUGGACCGAUACUGACGCUGAGACGCGAAAGCGU
rnacentral:rRNA from 1 species